rnacentral:rRNA from 1 species
UACGUAGGGGGCUAGCGUUGUCCGGAAUCAUUGGGCGUAAAGAGCGUGUAGGCGGCCCGGUAAGUCCGUGGUGAAAUCCCUGAGCUUAACUCGGGAACUGCCAUGGAUACUAUUUGUCUUGAAUAUUGUGGAGGUAAGCGGAAUAUGUCAUGUAGCGGUGAAAUGCUUAGAUAUGACAUAGAACACCAAUUGCGAAGGCAGCUUACUACACAGUUAUUGACACUGAGGCACGAAAGCGUGGGGAUCAAACAGG